UGUAUGCUCAGCACACGUUUCCUCUUCUCUCCCUCCCUUUUGCUUCCUAUGCUCCUGGAUAGGUAAUGUCUUCCAUAAGACCCUAGGAGAUGUACUGUACUGUGAGCAUCUGGAUGGGACUUCAUCUGGGGGCCAGUCCCUAGGGUUCCUUGCUGAACAAGCAUCUCCUGUUUAGAAGAGUACACAUCUGAA